rnacentral:rRNA from 1 species
GAUGAACGCUAGCUACAGGCUUAACACAUGCAAGUCGAGGGGAAACGGCAUUGAGUGCUUGCACUCUUUGGACGUCGACCGGCGCACGGGUGAGUAACGCGUAUCCAACCUUCCCAUUACUGUGUGAUAACCUCCCGAAUGGCACACUAAUACUGCAUAGUCUUCGAUGACGGCAUCAGAUUUGAAGUAAAGAUUUAUCGGUAAUGGAUGUGGAUGCGUCUGAUUAGCUUGUUGGCGAGGUAACGGCCCACCAAGGCUACGAUCAGUAGGGGAUCUGAGAGGAAGGUACACCACAAUGGAACUGAGACACGGACCAAAAUACGAGGGGAGGGAGCAGUGAGGAAUAUUAGGCAAUGGACGGAAGUCUGAACCAGCCAAGUAGCGUGAAGGAGGACGGCCCUAUGGGUUGUAAACUGCUUUUGUAUGGGGAUAAAGUUAGGGACGUGUCCCUAUUUGCAGGUACCAUACGAAUAAGGACCGGCUAAUUCCGUG